rnacentral:lncRNA from 1 species
AUGACUGCGGGCUGGGAUGGGCCGGGCUGGGGGUCACUGGUGCUAACUGGUGCUAACUGCAAGCCUCAGAAAUCCUUUCGGAGGAGGUCACAGAGCAGCGCUGGGUCUGGGCAGCGGGCUGCCCCCCCCCGGGACCCGCACUCCUCCUCUCCCACCGGUAACAGGCAAAAAAAAUCCCCCCAUCCAGCCGAGCUCCGGGGACAGCCCCGUCCAGCCGGGCUCCCAGCAGAGGAGGCUUCUGUUAUCCUCAGGGAAGCGCUAAGGAAAGAUGGGACCCGGGGGGGGGGGUUUUGGGGUGCGGGGGCAGCCAGGAGCCCCACGGCCCCGGGAGCCCUCGAGCGGUGCCGCUGCAGCCGCCGCGCGGUGCCGGUUCCUGCGCCCCCUGCCCGUGCCCCCAGGGUUCAGAGCCACGCAGCCCGGGGUGAUCUGCGCCCCCCCACCCCGUGUGCUCGUUCCCCGGGGGGGCGCGGGUCGGAGGGACAUUUUUCUAUGCACUCAAGCCACGGUCCCCUCAGCCCCCGUCUGCUCCCGUGUUGGGGUCAGGGCAGCGGCUGCAGGAGCCAGGGCUGGCUGCGGCACGUGGGGCUGGGCCCCCUCCCCACAAACAGCUCCCCCCUGCCCUGCUCGCAGCCCCCAUGCCCCGAGCCAACGGGGCUGAACAGACAACGCCGGGAGGGGGCUGCUGGUGGUGGUGCCAGGCCAUCAGCACCCCCUGGCAAGGGGGCACCAAGGGGGCUCGACCCGGGGCUGAGCUGGGCCCUGUGGGGUGGGGGCAGCUCCGGGGCUGCUCCGGCUCCCUUUGGGGAAGGGGGGUCCUGGUCCCGGGGGGGGGGGCAGCGUGGGGCAGGCAGCGGGGCCGCCCCGGGUUCAGGGAAUGGGGAGGGGGACGUGGUUCGGACCGGGGCUGAGCUCUGCUGCUCUUGGCCGGGGCUGUUUUCUCCCCGGAGGGGGCCGCUGGGGGCUGCGUCCCUGCGGGUCUCAGCCACGUCCCCACGGUGCUCGGGAGCCCGGCUGCCACGUACUGUAAAUACUCUGUGUGCCACCUUCCUCUCCGGGACCCUCGGCGCGGGCAGGGGCAGGGGGGGGGUGAGCAGGAGACCGGGGUCUGACCGAGACUUUUUUGUAUACCACAAACUUUUUGUAUAUUUUUAA